GAGGUGGGGGAGAUGAUUAAUUUUGUGUUGGGGGAGAUGUGAUUUUUGUGUAAUGUAACUUUGUGUAACUCUCUCUAUGGAGAAGAAAUUUUAUCAAAGCUCUCCGGAAUAGAUAGACAAAUUCUGCCUAUCUCCUCCACAUUGAAGGAUUCUCCAGAGAAAAUCAAAUCGGAGCUCUCUGGGGAAAAUAAAUAUAAAUUCAUACCUCAGAUUCUCUCCAGAUAUGGAGAACAGAUAUGGAGAAAAAUAAGUAAAUUCACUGUCAGACACUCUGGACCAAUUUAUCUUUAUUGUAAUUUCCUACUCAGAAAUCCUGGAAUUUAUUUUUAUUGUAAUUUCCUACCUCAGAAUACCUGGAAGACACUGGAAUUUCAUACCCCAAAAGAAAAUUUAACAUACCUCAAAUCAUACCCCAAAAGAAAAAAAAUCAUACCCCAAAAGAAAAAAAAAACUUAACAUACCUCACAUCAUACCCCAAAAAAAAAAAAAACCCAACAAUUAACAUACCUCAAAA